rnacentral:rRNA from 1 species
GUGACGUCAAGUCCUCAUGGCCCUUACAGGCUGGGCUACACACGUGCUACAAUGGCAUCUACAGUGGGCAGCUAUUCCGCAAGGAUGCGCUAAUCUCCAAAAGAUGUCUCAGUUCGGAUUGUCCUCUGCAACUCGAGGGCAUGAAGGCGGAAUCGCUAGUAAUCGCGGAUCAGCAUGCCGCGGUGAAUACGUUCCCAGGCCUU